rnacentral:rRNA from 1 species
UACGUAGGGGGCAAGCGUUGUCCGGAAUCAUUGGGCGUAAAGAGCGUGUAGGCGGCUCGAUAAGUCUGCUGUGAAAGUCCAGGGCUCAACCCUGGGAUGCCGGUGGAUACUGUCGAGCUCGAGUCCGGAAGAGGCGAGUGGAAUUCCUGGUGUAGCGGUGAAAUGCGCAGAUAUCAGGAGGGAACACCAACUAGGCGGAAGGCAGCUCGCUGGGACGGUACUGACGCUGAGACGCGAAAGCGUGGGGAGCAAACAGG